AUUCCAGCUCCAAUAGCGUAUAUUAAAGUUGUUGCAGUUAAAAAGCUCGUAGUUGGAUUUCUGGUGCAUUCCACUGGCCUAUUGGUUAACUCCAACUUGGCUCAUUUGGAAUACGCCAUCUUUAGGCAGACCCGUCGUGGCAUUAGGUUGUCGUGAUGGUUACGCCUAUCGUUUACUGUGAAGAAAUUAGGGUGUUCAAAGCAGGCUUAUGCCAUGAAUACGUUAGCAUGGAAUAAUGAGAUAGGAUUUCGGUACUAUUUUGUUGGCUUGUGUACGGAAAUAAUGAUUAACAGGAACAGUGUUGUGGGUAUUCGUAUUUCGUUGUCAGAGGUGAGAUUCUUGGAUUUACGAAAGACGAACGACUGCGAAAGCAUUUACCAAGGAUGUUUUCAUCG
rnacentral:rRNA from 1 species